GCUUUAUGGUCAGACUCCUUGUUUCUUGACUCUGAUGAUAGUGUUCAUUCCUACAAAGGGAUUCUCAGGUU
rnacentral:snoRNA from 10 species